UACAGAGGGGGCAAGCGUUAUUCGGAAUUAUUGGGCGUAAAGGGUGUGUAGGUGGCGCGCUAAGUCGGGUGUGAAAUUUCGGAGCUUAACUCCGAAACUGCAUUCGAUACUGGCGUGCUUGAGGACUGGAGAGGAGACUGGAAUUCAUGGUGUAGCAGUGAAAUGCGUAGAGAUCAUGAGGAAGACCAGUGGCGAAGGCGGGUCUCUGGACAGUUCCUGACACUGAGACACGAAGGCCAGGGGAGCAAACGGG
rnacentral:rRNA from 1 species